GAGGGUAUAGCUCAGUGGUAGAGGGCACGCCUAGCAUGCAUGAGGUCCUGGGUUCAAUCCCCAGUACCUCCA
rnacentral:tRNA from 1 species